rnacentral:rRNA from 1 species
UACGGGGGGGGCAAGCGUUGUUCGGAAUUACUGGGCGUAAAGGGCUCGUAGGCGGCCAACUAAGUCGGACGUGAAAUCCCCAGGCUUAACUUGGGAACUGCGUCUGAUACUGGAAGGCUUGAGUGCGGGAGAGGUGAGUGGAACUGCGAGUGUAGAGGUGAAAUUCGUAGAUAUUCGCAAGAACACCAGUGGCGAAGGCGGCUCACUGGCCCGGUACUGACGCUGAGGUGCGAAAGCGUGGGGAGCAAACAGG